rnacentral:lncRNA from 1 species
GUCUCUAAAUAAUGCUAAGUUAACCAUUCUCCUUAAGAGUUUAUUGACCCGUUGCGUCAAUCUAAGUAACAUAAUAAAAACAUUUCCAUCAAAAUCCAUCAGUUUAAACUAGAGAUCUAUCUGCGGUGGAAGGUGGCUGAGCUACAGCAGUGUUGAUCAGACAAUGAGACAGCCCAUCUGCGGUGGAAGGUGGCUGAGCUACAGCAGUGUUGAUCAGACAAUGCGACAGCCCAUCUGCGGUGGAAGGUGGCCGAGCUACAGCAGUGUUGAUCAGACAAUGAGACAGCCCAUCUGCGGUGGAAGGUGGCCAAGCUACAGCAGUGUUGAUCAGACAAUGAGACAGCCCAUCUGCGGUGGAAGGUGGCUGAGCUACAG